GAUGAACGCUGGCGGCGUGCUUAACACAUGCAAGUCGAGCGAAGCACUUAAGUUUGAUUCUUCGGAUGAAGACUUUUGUGACUGAGCGGCGGACGGGUGAGUAACGCGUGGGUAACCUGCCUCAUACAGGGGGAUAACAGUUAGAAAUGACUGCUAAUACCGCAUAAGACCACGGUACCGCAUGGUACAGUGGUAAAAACUCCGGUGGUAUGAGAUGGACCCGCGUCUGAUUAGGUAGUUGGUGGGGUAACGGCCUACCAAGCCGACGAUCAGUAGCCGACCUGAGAGGGUGACCGGCCACAUUGGGACUGAGACACGGCCCAGACUCCUACGGGAGGCAGCAGUGGGGAAUAUUGCACAAUGGAGGAAACUCUGAUGCAGCGACGCCGCGUGAAGGAUGAAGUAUUUCGGUAUGUAAACUUCUAUCAGCAGGGAAGAAAAUGACGGUAC
rnacentral:rRNA from 1 species